CGGGAACUCAUGCAGCUAUCUUGCAAUGAUGAGGAUGAGGCUAAGAGAAUAGGAGAGAUCCUCGCUCAAACAGGCUGAACUCGAGUAUUUCCGGCCCUAAGAAGGAAGGACAAAGAUUCCUGGAGAACUCUCCUGUAGUGUCAUUGUUUUGAGUAGCAAUGGAGGACAUUUCUACUGGUGCAGAGACGCGGAAAAAGCCACGGACUUAGAAACUCUCUGUAACUGCCCUGUGGCCCCUCUCUGCUUAAGGUGCAACCUGGGCCAUUCUUUCCGUUGGUUCCUUUUCCUCCAUGUUUCACUGGACAACUGCAGAACACUUUUCUGUGAAUGGGCUCCAAGACACCAGGGACAGGUGAUGAGGACUGGUGGGUGCCCAGAAUAUGAGUUUUUUUUUUUUUUUUUUUUUUGAGACAGAGUCUUACUCUGUCGCCCAGGCUAAGUUCAUUGACAGAUCUCGACUCACUGUAACCUCUGCCUCCGAGGUUCAA
rnacentral:lncRNA from 1 species